AAGAAAUCGGCUCGUGUGCAUGUACACGUGCACACACACACAUGUGAGCGUGUAACCAGAGUAACCAUGAAGCAGCCGCAUGUAAAUCAGUGUAGCUUGUUCCAAGCUUGACACCAACUGCCUGGUUACUGACACUUCCUACUUUCCUCCCCUGGAGAAGAGAAAAACUGAGCAAUGCCUGAAGUGCAGCUGCGACGAGUCCUUGACCGGCUAGGAAGAAGUUCACAGGCUUUGGUCACCAGCUCUGUCCACAGGGUUCAGACCCUACCCAAACUGGUACCCCAACUGCCAAGCAUGCAGGGAAGAGCGCUCGAUGAGUCCACACCAGGUGAAGGAGCACCGUUCCUCCAAGGAGCAGCACUGGAACCUGAAUCUGGAAGCAGUUGUGUAGAUGGUCCUAAUUCAUGGUGUGCACAGCUCACUGAGUAAUCUCAGGAACAUCCAGCAAGAAAAUUUCUGGGAAGUUUCUCAGCAAACAUUAAAGUCCUUGGUUGACGUCAGACAUCUCACAGCAGAAUCCUCUCACCACCUGGCCAGACAGUGCUCCCGGUGCCCAUUUCCCCUUUUGGUGUCUGUGUUACUGAUGUCUUUAAUCAUAUAUUCAAAUAAUUUAUUUGGCCACUUGUUUUAUGCUGAGUCUUGUG
rnacentral:lncRNA from 1 species